GACGAACGCUGGCGGCGUGCUUAACACAUGCAAGUCGAACGGAAAGGCCCUGCUUGCCGGGUGCUCGAGUGGCGAACGGGUGAGUAACACGUGGGUGAUCUGCCCCUUACUUUGGGAUAAGCCUGGGAAACUGGGUCUAAUACUGGAUAGGACCAUGCUGUAGGUGGUGUGGUGGAAAGAUUAGUUUCGGUAAGGGAUGAGCUCGCGGCCUAUCAGCUUGUUGGUGGGGUAAUGGCCUACCAAGGCGUCGACGGGUAGCCGGCCUGAGAGGGUGGACGGCCACAUUGGGACUGAGAUACGGCCCAGACUCCUACGGGAGGCAGCAGAGGGGAAUAUUGCACAAUGGGCGCAAGCCUGAUGCAGCGACGCCGCGUGGGGGAUGACGGCCUUCGGGUUGUAAACUCCUUUCAGCCAUGACGAAGCCCUUGUGGUGACGGUAGCGGUAGAAGAAGCACCGGCUAACUACGUG
rnacentral:rRNA from 1 species